GAAUAGAAGCUCAAGGAGAUUUCAGCCUCCAUUGUGAUCAAGGUUCUCCUUUUCAGGUUGCUAUGGGACAGACACCCAGUGGACACAUUUGUGUUGAGCAAGCUAUCAGUAUUUCACGGUGAUGGCAUCUUAUCAUUGCCAGAACCCAUAAUAGAAGCUCAAGGAGAUUUCAGCCUCCAUUGUGAUCAAGGUUCUCCUUUUCAGUUUGCUAUGGG